UAUUAAUUUUACUCGUGGUAAAACAAGUAAUACCUUUGACCGUUCACUGCAAAAAUAAUUUUAUAAGUAACAUUUUUGACAUUGUUCGCAAUAAUUUCUCGUUCUUUAUUUAUAAAGAAAUAUAUUUGAAUUUUCAAUAAAAAAAAAUGUCAAAGCUCUUCAUGAUGAUUGUUUUGUUUGCCGUUUUGGCGAACAUUUUAAUUUCUUCAACUGUUAUGGGCUGUUUGAAUCAAACAGAUACGGAACAGUGUACAAAUGAUGACGACUGCUGUGAUGAUCUCACGUGCAAAUCAAUUGGAGAAUAUAAAUUGUGCUUUGUAACUGUGUAAUUACUUUAAAAAGUAGUUAGUAUUAUUGGAUAUUCAAAAAUAUUCCAAGUUAUGUACAACCAAAAUAAAUCAAUAAAAUUUGUUUGAG